ACGGAAGGCAGCAGUGGGGAAUAUUGCACAAUGGGCGAAAGCCUGAUGCAGCGACGCCGCGUGGGCGAAGAAGUAUUUCGGUAUGUAAAGCUCUAUCAGCAGGGAAGAUAAUGACGGUACCUGACUAAGAAGCACCGGCUAAAUACGUGCCAGCAGCCGCGGUAAUACGUAUGGUGCAAGCGUUAUCCGGAUUUACUGGGUGUAAAGGGAGCGCAGGCGGUACGGCAAGUCUGAUGUGAAAGCCCGGGGCUCAACCCCGGUACUGCAUUGGAAACUGUCGAACUAGAGUGUCGGAGGGGUAAGUGGAAUUCCUAGUGUAGCGGUGAAAUGCGUAGAUAUUAGGAGGAACACCAGUGGCGAAGGCGGCUUACUGGACGACAACUGACGCUGAGGCUCGAAAGCGUGGGGAGCAAACAAGAUUAGAUACCCUGGUA
rnacentral:rRNA from 1 species